CUGCUUGGCGGAGGUCUGCGCUCUCCGAGUGCUUUUCUAGUUUCUGUGGGUUGUCAGGCUUGACUUCCUCUCUUCUCUACACUAAAGUUGGAGGAAAUUCAUCUAUUUUUUCUAUAUUUAGUCUGGAUCAAAGUUUGGAUCAAAGUGUUUCUCAAUUGAACUCUACAAUGAUCAUUGAUAUUUGUCAAAUCGUGUUCCCCAAAAGAACAACUGUAAUGUAAGGACCUCUUCAAGUUCCUCCAGGUUUUAUAUUUUUUGCUUGAAUAUGUCUUUGCAAUCAAAUGAGGACAAGAGUGACAUUCACAGCAGGGCUGUCAGUUUUGAUUUAAGAGCUUUUAAGAUUGAGACGCAGGCUGCCGCAGUGAGGCAGCGAUGAGUCAGACUUGGCCCUGUGGAGCAAAUGUGUAGCCAGCUACUCUGACUCCACAAUAUCACCUUCUUCAAUGUCAUGCUACAGCCAAACACAGCAUCCUUUUCAGACUUUACAGUCCGCUAAACUUUAUGACACUAGUAUUACAUUUUGCAGCUUAAAAAAAAAAAAAAAGAGAAAAUUUAGUUGCAAACCAUCUUUGUGAUCACACAUGCGUGAGUGUUUAAUUUUUUUAUAUGUAGGCUAUCUACUCUUGUUUCUUUUUAGGGUUGUAGGUGUAGUGAGUUUGGAUGUCUUUUUUGAGGACUGUUAGAUGACAAGAUUCACACCUAUCAAUGAGUGAGAGGGAAAGAACACAGGAGUGGGACUGCCUACGUGUGGGUUUAUGGAUAAGACUGAAAGGAAUGCAGACUCACAGCUGGCAGGGACUGAAGGUCCGAGGUCACUGGCAACUGCCUAAGGGGGUUGGGAAGUUUUUUUCUCUCUUUCUAGUAAAUUCCUGACAGAGAUGGAAAAGUGGGUUAUAAGCGGUACAUUGCUCAUGUCACUUCUAACAGUAACGUCAAAAUAAAGAGCAGGCCUUGGGUUGACAUCCAUGCAAACUGUGUAAGGAAAGGCGGGGCAUGUCAGUUUCAAACAAAUAACAAUGGUUUAUGGUUGAGGAAACUUUUACUUCAAACUGUUUUUUGUUUUUUUUUCCAUAGAAGUAUUGGCUCUGAAUUCCAAACAUACCAUCCUCUAAUGUUCUUUUUUUCUUACACUGAACCAUUUUUUUCCCUUUUACUUCUCAGCACUCAAGUCCUGAGCUGCCUCAGGCCUGGGUUUCUGCUACAAACAGUGUUGCAAGAAUGCAGUGUAGAGGAAUGUUAACACAAGCAAAUAGUACCUUUAAAGCCAAUAGGAUAACAUGGUCAGCUGGGGGCUUUUGUCCGGACAAGUUCCUUAUUCAAAUCUAUGUGACCUAUCUGAAGUUGUUGUUUUGGUCAGUAACAAACAGACUUUGGAAACAACACUAGCCUUUGGUCUUUUGUCUGGAGAAAUACAAACACACAGAUAAUUUGCUUUAAAUAACACACAGCUUAUGUGGGUUUCUUAAAACAAGACCAGAGAGAAAGGUCAGUGACAUGAGACAAGAAGCAGAAAUGCAAUUAGUGAAUGCAACCUCUGAGGAAAAGUGCCCCAGAAAUGGAUAUCAUGUUGAGACGCGUCAGUUUGUGGUAAUUAUAACCCAUGGCUAAUGGCUUCCAAGAAGUCAACUGUGAAUGUCCAUUUUUAAGGCCUGCCCUGACUGGUUCAGGUGAAACAAUUCAGUUCUGCUUCUUUUUAAAGAAAAAUGUUUAAAUUGUCUGGAAAAAAAAGAUUAAAAAUAACUGAAAAGUUAAGGACAAAAUUCAGCAGCAAACAAAAAAAAAGUUCUGAUGACUUACAAUGAUCCAAAACUCUCUUAACCUCAGAUCAAAUAGUUGGUUGCGCUACGUUGUUCCUACAAAAGUUCUGAGGCUGGGAAAGAAAGCCUUGCCUUCUUUGGGCCCUGGUCGUGGAACCACCUUCAGACCAGAUUGAAAUUGGCUUUUUUAAUCCCUCUAGUGAGCUUCAAAGGAUUGUCAGGGGCACACUUACCAUUCCUUGCACCUGUUUUGAUGAUCAGUACUUGUAAUUGUUGUUAUUGUUAACUUAUUUUAGCUUAUUUUAUUCCAGUUUUAUAUAGUGCUCCCUGGUACUAUUAUUUGAUUCUAUUCCUUGCUAGUCUCUCCAUCCUUCUGAGCCUAAGCAAUAAGUACUGUACUCUCAGUCUCUCCAUGUUGUAUUUUCAUUGAAUUGUAUUGUUGCUGGCAGAGCUGUGUAACAUUUUAUUUGUGAUUUCUCAAUGUGAUUUUACUGGUUAAAUAAAGGUUAAAUAAAUAAAAGAAAUAUAAUGACCACAGCAGUGGGCAGCCAUGAAAGGACAUUAUGCUGAUGCAAAUACAGCAGUGCCACCUAGUGGCUGCAUAACAGACAGGCUCCUUUCUGACAUCCACUGGAGAGGGAAGAACUCAUAGAGGUCCAACUACUUAACUUCUGUAACUGUAGUAUACUGGACCAGUUCACAAUCACAGCAUUUAAAUUGCCCAAGCAUGAGAUCCCAUCACUUGGCUGUUGGUCUUAAACGUCCAAAUUCAUCCCUGAAGUUGUGAAACAGAGAGGAAUCACUGAAAUGGGAGUGCACUGAAGCUUUGCUUUCAUGAGCACAUCCAUCUGCAUCAGAGGCAAAGCUGUAUAUGUAUGUGUUGCGGGCAUCAAAGUUAGUUUCAUCAUUUGAUAACACUUAGUUUACUGUUUGCACUUGCAGCAGCACCUUUGAUGUGUCAUUCUCUGUCAAGCUGCAGCUUUUAGAAACUUCAAGUAUGAUAACAUAAUAUCAAUAACAAAAACAACUAGAGCGCAGACCUCCGCCAAGCAGCUCAUGUCCCCCUUUAAACAAGAAAUACCCUGAGCCAGAUUUGAACCCAGGACCUUCUUACUGUGAGGCGACAGUGCUAACCACUACACCACUGUGCCACCUAUCUACACCACUGUGCCGUCCAUUGGUUAUCUUUCAGCACUGAAAAUUCCAACGACACCCUUAUUUUUGUGUGUUCUGGAUCACAGUAUCCAGAAUUUUGUCUGGAUCAGGAUCAACCUUUGACACCUCAUAAAACUCACUGAGAUCCUUUUGUGUCAUUUUUUACUAAAGACUCUGGACAUUUUUAUAGAGUUAAAUGCAAAAUUCCAAAAUUUGCCCUAUCUCACAAUGAUAAAGAAUCCUUCAAAAAAUUCCUGGAUCCAGAAGGUGAUCCGGAUCACCACCAAAAUGUAAUGGGAUCUUCCUGGGGCUGAGACGCACCUCUGGUGAAAAUUUCAGGUCAAUCCGUCGGUAACUUUCUUCUUAAAGUUGCUAACAGACAAACAAACCAACCAACGCUACCGAAAACAUAACCUCCUUGGUGGAGGUAAUUAAUGCCUUUAAGAAAACUGUGAUGUACAGGGCAAUCGAAUACUGGAACAGACUUCCCCAACAGUUAGGGCUCUAAAUUUGUGCUCGCCCGUGGCACGGUGCAGGGUGGCGAAAUUGGUAAACUGGAGCACACUGAGACGGACAUGUAAAUGUAGUAGGGAGAGAUGUUGAACGAACAAGCUGGCGUAUUGACAAAUUCCAUGUCCGCCAGCGGCGCAGAGCUGCGCCCUCUACUUCAGUCUCAUUAAAAAUAAAAAUGAAAAAAGCCACUUUCAGCUGACUACAACUAAAACCACUGCCAGCCAAGUGCAGCCCCCUCCAUCUUCAGUUUAUGAUGUACACUUUAUGAAUUGCAGCCUCAGCCAAACAACAUCUCAGACUACUCUCUGACAGAAAUUCCAAUUUACAGCGAUGGCUGAAAACAGCAGCCUAUGCACCAAAGUUGGAUGUCUCCCCAACACCAACAUAAAUUAUAGUACCAUAAACUAGCCAGCAACCAAAACACAGCUGCCAUCAGUGUAGACAACGAAAGCUCCUGCAAGCCUCUAUCAGCAAACUGCAGUCACCUCUAACUGAGAUUUUUUUACGGACAACUUUAUUCAGUGCUUUAGCUUUUGCUUUACACCACCUGUGUAAAACUCUGCCAAGGAGUGUAUGAAAGCCCCAUGGCAACUUGUUGAAGGAAUAUUCUUGGGAAAAUUCAAGUUGGGGUCAAACACACUGUAACACCAAGUUAGACACCCCCUUGAGAGAUGAAUGUUGCCGACCGCUCUGGUAAUACUAACUUCAGUAACGACCGUAUGAUAGCAAUACACAGUGGUCUACGUCUCCACGCACAAACGUCAAAACAUUUACUAGGUAAUCGACUCAUCAGGGCUUUGCAACAAACUAGCAGCUGCUGAAGGAGAUUGGGAGAGUUGUGUUUGGUCUCUUUGCUGAAGAAAUCAGGCAAAGUUAAAAAGAUGUUUGAUGGCUAGUACUAUGGCUGGGACCCUUUAUGUACUGAUGAUGAAGUUAGGUGCUGUUCUGAGCAUUAUUUGUGGCUAUAGAGUGGCUUUUUGGUUGGGGUUUGGUUGAACAACUGGAGUGCACAUCCUGUAGAUACACAUCAAACAGCAAUAACAAAAUAAGUGUUGGGUUCACACUAAUUAAAGGAAGUAUUGUGGGUACAACAGAAGUAUAGUGAAUGGAUUAUUGUUGGUACAAUAGAAAAAAAUCACGCAACAGCAAAUCAGAACAAUGAUUUCUGUUUAAUUGAGAGACAAUGGCCUUCCACGUGGGAACAACUUCAUAAAAAUGUUAAACCUUCAGACUGUGCAACAUUAUUUACUUAACAUUUUCUGCUGCAGGGAUUGAGUUUCAGUAUUGGUGUUUGUUUCUGUAUGUAUCAGAGCAAAUGUGCUGAGUCAACAUGCACAGUGGAGAACUUGGAGUCCGUUAGUUCUCAAAUUGACAAAUGUCAAAACCCUGCCACCCUUUAACUCGUACAAUGUGGGUACUUGGUUCAAGCCUGACAGUUGGACCAUAUAGUGUAACGCAUUGGUGGUGAGGACCAGUCAUGUGUCUGAAACAAUUCAAUCACACUGCUGAGGAGGUUUCCCGGUCAGAGCCAACAGGGGAGAUCUGCUGGUGCCAACAGCAAAUAAAGUUACAAGUGUGAUGCAAAGGUGAGUAAGUGGCUGUAAAUGGAUAUGACAACAAUGACAGUGCUAAUUAAAAACUCUUUAAUACUCUUUAAAGGGGGAGAAAUGCACUUCAAGCUGAUAUGCUAUUUGAUUUGUCAUUUGUUAUUUUUAUUUGCACAAAAGUAGACAUAAAAUCAUUACAUAUUUAAAACAAAGAAGUUCCAGUUCAGCAAAACUGUGCAGGAGAGGAAAGAAGCCGAAGGACUUACACAGAAUCCUCCCCAUCAAUACAAGUUCAUUAAAACAUGCUGAAUCUUAAACAAUACAACAUCUAAUUAACUAAAUUACAAGAAAAAAAAAAGAAACGUGCUACACAAAAAUAAUAAAAAAUAACAUUAAAAAAAAUAAUAAAUUAAUUAAUUAAUUAAUAAUAAUAAUAAUAAUAAUAAUAAUAAUAAUAAUAAUAAUAAUAAAACAAAACUGAAUACCCUUUAAAUGUGGAUCAGGUGCAAGUGUACUGGUAGCACAGAAAACUAUUUGGAUAAAAGAUAUUCUUUUAAGUGAGAUUUGAAAGUUCUUAUAGAAAAAGAUAAAACUUCAAAUCAGAACUUUGUGAAUUCCAAAGAUGUGGGCCUCUAAAUUUAAUAAACGACUGAUGAUUAAGAGGGACACAAUAACGUGAACAAGACCUCAUUGAACAAGAGUGGAUGCCAGAUGAUAAAACAAAGAAAUUAUGAAAUGUGUCUGGAAGGUUUUGCUGAAGAUAUAAGAAUUUAAACAUAAACACGGAUGUUAAAUAAGUAUUUGUAGAAUGAAUUGACAAAAAUUUGAAUUUAUUAAACAAAGGUGCUGAUGUCUUAUAAUUACAGCUGCUUGAAAUCAUUCUUAAAAACCUUUUUGGAUUGAAAGUAUCUGAUUGAGAUAAGAGGGAUAUGUGCCAGCCCGAACAAUGCUGCAAUAAUUAAUAUAUGGAUAGAUUAAACUGUAGUACAGGGUUAAAUGAUAAGAGGAAUGAAUCAGCGGACACACUUUCCUCAAUAUUCCAUAAGAAUCUUCUUCAGAUACACUUAAACUGUCUCCUCCAGCGGUGUCUUUCGGCACUGCAGCCAGGGUCCCAGCAGGUUGGGAUGGUGGACUGAAUAAAUGAACAGCUGGACACCUUAAAUCUGGGUUUGCUCUUUGACCCCUGAAACCAGCCAGUCAAAGCACCAUAUGUUAUCUGGCUAAAGCAUCUAGGCCAGGUGAGAGCUGUGUGAUCUUAUUCUGUCUUA